GGGUUGUGAGGUUAAGCGACUAAGCGUACACGGUGGAUGCCCUGGCAGUCAGAGGCGAUGAAGGACGUGCUAAUCUGCGAUAAGCGCCGGUAAGGUGAUAUGAACCGUUAUAACCGGCGAUUUCCGAAUGGGGAAACCCAGUGUGAUUCGUCACACUAUCAUUAACUGAAUCCAUAGGUUAAUGAGGCGAACCGGGGGAACUGAAACAUCUAAGUACCCCGAGGAAAAGAAAUCAACCGAGAUUCCCCCAGUAGCGGCGAGCGAACGGGGAGGAGCCCAGAGCCUGAAUCAGCAUGUGUGUUAGUGGAAGCGUCUGGAAAGGCGCGCGAUACAGGGUGACAGCCCCGUACACAAAAGCGCAUGUGCUGUGAGCUCGAUGAGUAGGGCGGGACACGUGGUAUCCUGUCUGAAUAUGGGGGGACCAUCCUCCAAGGCUAAAUACUCCUGACUGACCGAUAGUGAACCAGUACCGUGAGGGAAAGGCGAAAAGAACCCCGGCGAGGGGAGUGAAAAAGAACCUGAAACCGUGUACGUACAAGCAGUGGGAGCACCCUUCGGGGUGUGACUGCGUACCUUUUGUAUAAUGGGUCAGCGACUUAUAUUCUG
rnacentral:rRNA from 1 species